GGAUGUGAGGGCGAUCUGGCUGCGACAUCUGUCACCCCAUUGAUCGCCAGGGUUGAUUCGGCCGAUCUGGCUGGCUAGGUGGGUGUCCCCUUCCUCCCUCACCGCUCCGUGUGCGUCCCUCCCGAAGCUGCGCGCUCGGUGGAAGAGGAUGACCAUCUCCGAUAGAGGAGGACUGGUCUUCGGUCGAGGGUAUACGACUAGCUGUGCUUCCCUGCCAGAACGUCCAAACAAGCUCUUCAGGUCCAUUUGUAGGAGAACGUAGGGUAGUCAAGCUUCCAAGACUCCAGACACAUCCAAAUGAGGUGCUGCAUGUGGCAGUCUGCCUUUCUUG
rnacentral:snRNA from 1 species